GACGAACGCUGGCGGCGUGCUUAACACAUGCAAGUCGAACGAUGAAGCCGGAGCUUGCUCUGGUGAAUUAGUGGCGAACGGGUGAGUAACACGUGAGUAACCUGCCCUUGACUCUGGGAUAACUGCGGGAAACUGUAGCUAAUACCGGAUACGACCCUCGGAGGCAUCUCCUGGGGGUGGAAAGAAUUUCGGUCAAGGAUGGACUCGCGGCCUAUCAGCUAGUUGGUGAGGUAAAGGCUCACCAAGGCGACGACGGGUAGCCGGCCUGAGAGGGUGACCGGCCACACUGGGACUGAGGCACGGCCCAGACUCCUACGGGAGGCAGCAGUGGGGAAUAUUGCACAAGGGGCGCAAGCCUGAUGCAGCAACGCCGCGUGAGGGAUGACGGCCUUCGGGUUGUAAACCUCUUUUAGCAGGGAAGAAGCGAAAGUGACGGUACCUGCAGAAAAAGCACCGGCUAACUACGUGCCAGCAGCCGCGGUAA
rnacentral:rRNA from 1 species